rnacentral:rRNA from 1 species
CUUAGUGGCGGACGGGUGAGUAACACGUAUCCAACCUGCCGUCUACUCUUGGACAGCCUUCUGAAAGGAAGAUUAAUACAAGAUGGCAUCAUGAGUCCGCAUGUUCACAUGAUUAAAGGUAUUCCGGUAGACGAUGGGGAUGCGUUCCAUUAGGUUGUUGGCGGGGUAACGGCCCACCAAGCCUUCGAUGGAUAGGGGUUCUGAGAGGAAGGUCCCCCACAUUGGAACUGAGACACGGUCCAAACUCCUACGGGAGGCAGCAUG